UACAGAGGGUGCGAGCGUUAAUCGGAAUUACUGGGCGUAAAGCGUGCGUAGACGGUUAUGUAAGUCGGAUGUGAAAGCCCCGGGCUCAACCUGGGAAUUGCAUUCGAGACUGCAUAGCUAGGAUGCGGAAGAGGGAAGUGGAAUUUCCGGUGUAGCGGUGAAAUGCGUAGAUAUCGGAAGGAACAUCAGUGGCGAAAGCGACUUCCUGGUCCAGCAUCGACGUUCAGGCACGAAAGCGUGGGGAGCAAACAGG
rnacentral:rRNA from 1 species